AGAUAUGUUGCAAGUCCCAAGAAUGCCUGAAGUUGUUGGCUGAAGUUUUGUAAACCACAAAAAGAACACUGUCAUUGGAAAGUAUAUUAACAGGUCUUGAUAUUUUUAUGUCUUAUUUUAUGUAUCUCAUGCUUUGAAAACUAUAUGGUUGCUGUGAUCAAUGGCCGAUUCUACUUUUGAGUUCAAAAACUUAAAAAAGCUAGCAAAAAAUGCAAA